rnacentral:lncRNA from 1 species
CAGGGAGGCAAGCGACAUGUGAUCCUAUGAGCAGCCAUGUGAAAUAAUUACCAGGAGAACAAGGUGCAAGAUCUGCAAAAGUCAGGAGACAGACUUCAAUCAAACAAAGUAUGAAGGUGAAAAAGUGAGAAGAGGCCAAUGUGAAAUUCAGGAAUUAGAAUGUGGACAAGUUUAGGAUAAAACAUGUGGACUGAUGAGUAGCAGGAGCCAAAUGUUAAAGAGGAUGGAACCAAGAGAGAUGAAAUUUGCUGUUGCUGAUUGACAACAACUGUUCAAACAGCCUCCUACACCUGGCAUAUGUGAUCAGGCUCACUGGCUGCUCUUUCCUUAGCUCAUCAGGAACUUCAGGCCUGGUGCCCCCCAACAGAACUACUGAUGCCAGAUUACUGCUUACAGAAACCGGUCAUCCAGAUGAAGCUGAGUGGAGGUCAACAAUGAGAAUCUUGAGUGGAGAAUCCUUUGCAUGGUUUUCAGGAAUCAUCUUCACCACAGUGUUAGCCAGAGCUGUAACUUGCCUGGAAGCCACCGCUUGUCAAGGCAUGAGUCUGUGUUUUAAACGUGAACUGGCAUGCCUUAGAGAAACAUCUUCAUAUUCUUCCUCCUGAGCAUUGUUUGCAUCCCAAGUACAAAAGCUUCUCCACCUCCAUUACCACCAUUUAUGUCUACACCUGGUAGUGAAAGCAGAGAUGUAAACCUGAGAGAGGGUUUUCUCAUCUGUGUAAAGUAUAUGGGGUUCAGUGCUUCCUGACUCACAUUGCUUCAGCUGUUCGUGAAAGACUACGUUGCUGCAAUUUAGGAUAAUUGCAAGUGGAGAGUGAGAGUUUUUCAAACAACAACAACAAAAAAAAACCAUGACGCACUGUGUGACGCCAAAGAAAUUAUUUCCCCUUUGACAGAUUUCACGUUGCUACCUAUAAAAUAGCAAUCAGGGCACUCCUCUUAGCAGUAAUAACCCAA